UUGGUCGUCGCCUUCUUCUUCCAGAAGCUACCUCUUCGAUGUAUAACUCACGAAACCAAACCGUCAACCGUCGAUCCGAGCUCUGUAAUGCCUCUCAGUCCUUAAAUCCUUUCUUUAAUCUGAGUUUUCCUCAAUUAAUCCACUCCACCCAUGUUAAUCAAACAAAAUACCUCUUCGUUUUCCACCGUAACUGGUUCGAGCUUCCCCUGUAAAUGUCCCACUAAAGCCUAUUUGUACGUUUCCGGUUUGUCUUAAACUUAUCUGUCAAGUAUGGCUACUUCUCAAAUCCAGUUUUCCGAUUUGAAUGACGGAAGAUGCAAACAAAAGUUCAGAGCAGACUCAUACAAUUUUGGGAAGCUGAGAAUUUUGAUAAUGGUGGGAGCUCAUGGGUGUCGAUAGCUAAUUGAUGCGAAGGCCACUCUCAUCCAAGGAUUAAUCCGACCUUCAAGUUUGCCGAUGCCCCAGUAUUUAUUAGAUUCUCGGAGCAGUCUGUUUUCUAUGAGGUAGCAGAAAUGAAUGAGCCAAUCCAGAAGGAGUGCUUCAGGUUCCGAAAAUACGACGAGCUCAUGUCACUUGCCAACACCGACACCAUAACUCAUUUGCUAGAUAUCAUUUGUGAAAUACGAGGCAUCAAAACCAUUUACAACGAGGCUACACAUGGCACUCAACGCCUCAUGGCUACCAUUUAGCUUGAUAGGUUGGCUGUUUCUCAACGCAACUUUGGACAUUCAUUUCUAUUUUGACAACGACUGUGUAGCUAGCAUCAACUACCUGAAAAAGUAAGCUACAGAUCUAUUAAUAUGUUCAAUAAGAUGCUUAUCGUUAACUGCAACUGCUUACCAAACUGCAAUUUGUUCGUAUGAUGGGGCCUGUGGCUUUAAAGAGGGAUCAUCCUCAGCUCCAACAAAGUAUAAUGGUGUUAAAAAGAUUGAAUCAAUUCCACUGUCCAAACUUAAUUCCCACGUCCUCACUGCAUCACCAGAGGCAGUAGAGUUCAUUUGCACAGCUGUUGUCAAUGGUAUUGAGACUGGAAAUAGGUGGUGCUAUAUUUUAUGCUUGAAAUACUACAGAAAGCUCAAACUUGGAUUCUCAGCUUUGACAUGCCAUGCAUAUCAAGAUGACAAUGCAGUGGGUUUUGUAAGAUGCAUAUGACUGCUGAGUUUGUAGCUUUUGACAGUGAAAUGACCAGGCUUACAAAUGUCAAUGUCAUCCAUUCAAAUGCCAGGGCAGUAAGCGUAUCUCAGUUAAUGGUUUGCUUUACAAUUUCGUUGGUUCCUUUGUCACAUUAUUUUGGAAGGAUUAUUUUAGCUAACUAAUAUUUAACCAUGCAACAGCACGAGGGCGAUCAAGACAUCCAAGAAUUAGCACUUCCCCAAAGCCUUCCAUCUCAACCCCUCCCAAUUCAACUUCUCAUCAAAACAUCAGAGCUCCACAGCGUCCCGCAUCUUUGAUCGCAACCAGCGCCCUCCUCUACCUAAUUUUGACGCCAACGUGAGUAUGACUGUUAUGAUAGGUUUAGCUGCUCUGCAAAGUUGUUGCUUCUUGACUGAGUUUUCACUUUCACAUGGAGGGAAUAACAACCCAUGGAGGAAGAACCUAGCGCUAAGAAGAGCCGGACUGAGUUAAAUUUGUCCGACUGUCGCAGCUAUUUUGGCAAUGAGCCAUCCUUUGAUGAUUUCUGCGUUUUCAAUGACUUCUACAAAUUCUAUUUGAGUUUUUUUGUGCACUAACGCUAUUACGCUAAUAUAAUUUAUUUCAUGUA